UGAGGAACAUGACCUUCGGCGGGGGAUAGCCGGCCCAACGGCCGGGUAAUACCGCGUACGACCUUUCGGGGACAUCCCCGGAUGGUGAAAGCAGCAAUGCGCCGAUGGAGUGCCUCGCGGCCUAUCAGCUAGUUGGUGGGGUAACGGCCUACCAAGGCAACGACGGGUAGCUGGUCUGAGAGGAUGGCCAGCCACAUUGGGACUGAGACACGGCCCAGACUCCGUACGGGAGCAG
rnacentral:rRNA from 1 species